GGCAAGAGGCAAGUGCAGAACCCAAGCAACAGAAACCAAGACUUCAUGGCAUCAUUGGAGCCCAAUUCUCCCACCAAAGCAAACACUGAAUAUCCAAACACACCAGAACAGCAAGAUCUAGAUUUUAAAUCACAUUUGAUCAUGAUGAUGGAGGACUUCAAGAAAGACAUAAAAAACUCCCUUAGUAAAAAGCAGGAAAACAAAUAAACAAGUAGAAAACUAUAGAGAGGAAUCACAAAAAUCCCUCAAAAAUUCCAGGAAAACACAAUCAAACAAUGGAAGGAAUUAAAAAUGGAAAUAGAAGCAAUAAAGAAAGCACAAAGGGAGACAACCUUGGAUAUACAAAACCAAAGGAAGAGACAAGGAGCCAUAGAUACAAGCAUCAGCAACAGAAUACAAAAGAUAGAAAAAGCAAGAAACUAAUCGUCUUGGCAACAAAACAAA
rnacentral:lncRNA from 1 species